rnacentral:rRNA from 1 species
GUCUUUUUGAUUAUAAUUUAAGGUUUAAUCUGCUCAAUGAAAAUUUAAAUAGCCGCAGUAUUUUAACUGUGCAAAGGUAGCAUAAUAAUUAGUUUUUUUAUUGAAAGCUGGAAUGAAUGAUUGGACGAGAGGAUGACUGUCUCUUUAUAAUAUUUUUUGAAUUUAACUUUUAAGUGAAAAGGCUUAAAUUUAUUUGAAAGACGAGAAGACCCUAUAGAGUUUUAUUUAUUAUUAUAGUUUUAAGAAUUUAUUUUAUAAUAAUUAAAUUUAGUUGGGGUGAUUGAAAGAUUUAAUAAACUCUUUUAAUUUUAAUCAUUGAUUUAUGAAUUUUGAAUCUAAAAUAUUAAAUUUAAAUUAAAUUACCUUAGGGAUAACAGCGUAAUUUUUCUUUAGAGUUCUUAUUAAAAGAGAAGUUUGCGACCUCGAUGUUGGAUUAAAAUAAAUUUUUGGUGUAGAAGCUAAUAAAUUAAGUCUGUUCGACUUUUAAAAUUUUACA